GAUGAACGCUGGCGGCGUGCCUAAUACAUGCAAGUCGAGCGAACAGACGAGGAGUUUGCUCCUCUGACGUUAGCGGCGGACGGGUGAGUAACACGUGGAUAACCUACCUAUAAGACUGGGAUAACUUCGGGAAACCGGAGCUAAUACCGGAUAAUAUAUUGAACCGCAUGGUUCAAUAGUGAAAGACGGUUUUGCUGUCACUUAUAGAUGGAUCCGCGCCGCAUUAGCUAGUUGGUAAGGUAACGGCUUACCAGGGCAACGAUGCGUAGCCGACCUGAGAGGGUGAUCGGCCACACUGGAACUGAGACACGGUCCAGACUCCUACGGGAGGCAGCAGUAGGGAAUCUUCCGCAAUGGGCGAAAGCCUGACGGAGCAACGCCGCGUGAGUGAUGAAGGUCUUCGGAUCGUAAAACUCUGUUAUUAGGGAAGAACAAAUGUGUAAGUAACUAUGCACGUCUUGACGGUACCUAAUCAGAAAGCCACGGCUAACUACGUG
rnacentral:rRNA from 1 species